GAUUGAAUAUAAUUAAGAGGUAAGCAAGUUGGAUAGAUGGUGGCUAAUCCAAAUAUAAAGGAGGUCGAUGCCUAUGAAAGCAUCAACUUUACACUUUAGAAAGGAUAAGCCUUAUGAUUACUGUUGAAACCAUGUUGCAAUUUGGCAUAUUCCUUAUUGCAUGCAUUGGCUUAGUAAUCAAGAUUAUUGAUUUAAA
rnacentral:sRNA from 1 species